rnacentral:rRNA from 1 species
CCUACGGGGGGCUGCAGUGGGGAAUAUUGGUCAAUGGCCGGAAGGCUGAACCAGCCAUGCCGCGUGAAGGUCAGUGCCCUAUGGGCGUUAAACUUCUUUUGUGCGGGAGCAAUAAUGGUCACGUGUGGCCAGACGAGAGUACCGUACGAAUAAGCAUCGGCUAACUCCGUGCCAGCAGCCGCGGUAAUACGGGGGGUGCAAGCGUUAUCCGGAUUUAUUGGGUUUAAAGGGUGCGUAGGCUGUGAGGUAAGUCAGCGGUGAAAUGCCCCCGCUCAACGGGGUGAAGUGCCAUUGAUACUGCCUGGCUGGAAUGCGGAUGCCGUGGGAGGAAUGUGUGGUGUAGCGGUGAAAUGCAUAGAUAUCACACAGAACACCGAUUGCGAAGGCAUCUCACGAAUCCGCGAUUGACGCUGAUGCACGAAAGCGUGGGUAUCAAACAGGAUUAGAUACCCUAGUAGUC